GAUACUCUCUACGCUUUGCCAACAUUGCAGCUGCAGAAAAACACCCAAAGGCGAUAGCAGUCCCAACAAAGCCGCUAAUCAGGAUGCUGCAAUCACAAAUAUAUUAAUAAUCCAUGUAACUAAUCCAAUUCCUUUCACUUUUUCUUUU